rnacentral:misc_RNA from 1 species
AAAAUGUGAUAAGUCAUGUGAAUUGCAACUAUCAGUGAAUCAUCGAAUAUUUGAACGCAUCACGCACUUUGGACUUAAUAACUCCAAAGUAUAUCUGUUUGAGUGUCACAAACAAUAACAAUCAAUAUGAAGUGAGACCUUUAACAGAGUCACACAUACGUUGGUACUUGAGCUUUUAGUAUUUCCUAAUAGCUUUGAAUAUAAUGAGAUGAUCUCAAAAAUCUCUAAGUAGAGUAUUUGUUAAUACAAAAGCUCACAUUGAUGAUUGCUUUUGAUUCUCCAUAUAAGAUAAAACAAUUUGAUGACAUCAAAUUAGGUAAGGUUACCCGCUGAAUUUAA